rfam:Aspergillus fumigatus Af293 chromosome 5, whole genome shotgun sequence.
GGUAAGAUGGCCGAGUGGUUAAGGCGAGUGACUUAAGUGCUGCGUGCUGUACCACAGCUUUUACAUAAGCUGUACAGGCCGCUCAAAUUCACUUGACGAAAGUCGCGUGGGUUCGAACCCCACUCUUACCA